UACAGAGGUCCCGAGCGUUGUUCGGAUUCAUUGGGCGUAAAGGGUGCGUAGGCGGUAGAGCAAGUCUGAUGUGAAAUCCCGGGGCUCAACCCCGGAACUGCAUUGGAUACUGCUUUGCUAGAGUACUGGAGAGGGAACUGGAAUUUACGGUGUAGCAGUGAAAUGCGUAGAGAUCGUAAGGAAGGCCAGUGGCGAAGGCGAGUUCCUGGACAGUUACUGACGCUGAGGCACGAAGGCCAGGGGAGCAAACGGG
rnacentral:rRNA from 1 species